rnacentral:rRNA from 1 species
UACGGGGGGGGCAAGCGUUGUUCGGAAUUACUGGGCGUAAAGGGCUCGUAGGCGGCCAACUAAGUCAGACGUGAAAUCCCUCGGCUUAACCGGGGAACUGCGUCUGAUACUGGAUGGCUUGAAUCCGGGAGAGGGAUGCGGAAUUCCAGGUGUAGCGGUGAAAUGCGUAGAUAUCUGGAGGAACACCGGUGGCGAAGGCGGCUUCCUGGCCUGUUCUUGACGCUGAGGCGCGAAAGCUAGGGGAGCAAACGGG